AGGGCACCACCAGGAGUGGAGCCUGCGGCUUAAUUUGACUCAACACGGGAAAUCUCACCAGGCCCGGACACCGGAAGGAUUGACAGAUUGAGAGCUCUUUCUUGAUUUGGUGGAUGGUGGUGCAUGGCCGUUCUUAGUUGGUGGAGUGAUUUGUCUGGUUAAUUCCGAUAACGAACGAGACUCUAGCCUAUUAAAUAACACACAGAAUCUUGUCUUCUGUGGCGUUUCUUAAUGGGAUCAAGUGUGUUUAACGCUUUGAAACAGAGCAAUAACAGGUCUGUGAUGCCCUUAGAUGUUCGGGGCCGCACGCGCGCUACAUUGAGAGACAAAAUGAGUUUUCUAGCCUUUAAUAAGGCUAGUAAUCUUUGAAUGUUUUUCUUAAUGGGGAUAGGGGAUUGCAAUUGUGCCCCUUGAACGAGGAAUUCCCAGUAAGUGCUAGUCAUUAGCUAGUACUGAUUACGUCCCUGCCCUUUGUACACACCGCCCGUCGCUACUACCGAUUGAAUGGUUUAGUGAGAU
rnacentral:rRNA from 1 species